rfam:Candidate division WWE3 bacterium GW2011_GWA2_44_16 TW36_C0005, whole genome shotgun sequence.
GCCGUGGUGGCGGAAUGGCAUACGCGGCGGUCUCAAAAACCGCUAGGAGCAAUCCUGUGUGGGUUCAACUCCCACCCACGGCA